rnacentral:rRNA from 1 species
UACGUAGGGUGCGAGCGUUAAUCGGAAUUACUGGGCGUAAAGCGUGCGCAGGCGGUUUUGUAAGCCAGAUGUGAAAGCCCUGGGCUCAACCUGGGAAUGGCAUUUGAAACUGGCCGGCUAGAGUGUGAUAGAGGAUGGCGGAAUUCCCGGUGUAGCGGUGAAAUGCGUAGAGAUCGGGAGGAACAUCCGUGGCGAAGGCGGCCAUCUGGAUCAACACUGACGCUGAGGCACGAAAGCGUGGGGAGCAAACAGG